GGCCGCGGGAAUUCGAUUAGAGUUUGAUCAUGGCUCAGAUUGAACGCUGGCGGCAUGCCUUACACAUGCAAGUCGAACGGCAGCGCGUCCUUCGGGAUGGCGGCGAGUGGCGAACGGGUGAGUAAAGCAUCGGAACGUGCCCGGUAGUGCGGGAUAGCUCGGCGAAAGCCGGAUUAAUACCGCAUGAGAUCCGUGGAUGAAAGCAGGGGACCCCUUGUGGGCCUUGCGCUACUGGAGCGGCCGAUGUCAGAUUAGGUAGUUGGUGGGGUAAAGGCCCACCAAGCCUGCGAUCUGUAGCUGGUCUGAGAGGAUGAUCAGCCACAUCGGGACUGAGACACGGCCCGAACUCCUACGGGAGGCAGCAGUGGGGAAUUUUGGACAAUGGGCGCAAGCCUGAUCCAGCCAUGCCGCGUGCAGGAUGAAGGCCCUCGGGUUGUAAACUGCUUUUGUACGGAACGAAAAGCCUCUUUCUAAUAAAGAGGGGUGAUGACGGUACCGUAAGAAUAAGCACCGGCUAACUACGUGCCAGCAGCCGCGGUAAUACGUAGGGUGCGAGCGUUAAUCGGAAUUACUGGGCGUAAAGCGUGCGCAGGCGGUCUUGCAAGACAGUGGUGAAAUCCCCGGGCUCAACCUGGGAACUGCCAUUGUGACUGCAAGGCUGGAGUACGGCAGAGGGGGAUGGAAUUCCGCGUGUAGCAGUGAAAUGCGUAGUAUGCGGAGGAACCGAUGGCAGGCAGUCCCUGGGCCUGUACUGACGCUCAUGCACGAAAGCGUGGGGAGCAAACAGGAUUAGAUACCCUGGUAGUCCACGCCCUCGAUGUUUGGGAUUUAUUUUCCUCAGUACGACUAACCGUAGUUGACCGCUGGUAGCGAACUAUGACGGGACCGCAGAAUGGUAUCGAAAC
rnacentral:rRNA from 1 species